GAUGAACGCUAGCGGCGUGCCUAAUACAUGCAAGUCGAGCGGACGGACGAUAAACUUGCUUCUCUGAUGUUAGCGGCGGACGGGUGCGUAACACGUGGAUAACCUACCUAUAAGACUGGGAUAACUUCGAGAAACCGAAGCUAAUACCGGUAACUAUUUUGAACCGCCUGAUUCAUAAGAGAAAGACGAUAUUGCUAUCACUUAUAGAUGGAUCCGCGCUGCAUUAGCUAGUUGGUAAGGUAACGGCUUACCAAGGCAACGAUGCAUAGCCGACCUGAGAGGGUGGGCAGCUACACUAGAAUGGAGACGCGGCCCAGACUACUACGGGACGCAGCAGUAGAGAAUCUUACACAAUGGGCUAAAGGCUGACGUAGCAACGCCGCGUGAGGGAUGAAGGGCUUCGGAUCUUAAAUCUCUGCUAUUAGGGAAGAACAAAUGUGUAAGUAACUGGUGACAUCUUGACGGUACCUAAUCAGAAAGCCACGGCUAACUACGUG
rnacentral:rRNA from 1 species